CGAGAAAGCCCGCAAGGGUGAGUAAAGCGGCGCACGGGUGCGUAACACGUGGGUAAUCUGCCCUAGAGUCCGGAAUAACUCGCCGAAAGGCGUGCUAAUGCCGGAUGAGACCACGGGAGCCUCGGCUCCUGGGGGAAAAGGUGGCCUCUGUAUACAAGCUAUCGCUCUAGGAUGAGCCCGCGGCCCAUCAGCUCGUUGGCGGGGUAAUGGCCCACCAAGGCUACGACGGGUAGCUGGUCUGAGAGGACGAUCAGCCACACUGGAACUGAGACACGGUCCAGACUCCUACGGGAGGCAGCAGUGGGGAAUCUUGCGCAAUGGGCGAAAGCCUGACGCAGCAACGCCGCGUGUGUGAUGAAGGUCUUCGGAUCGUAAAGCACUGUCGCGAGGGACG
rnacentral:rRNA from 1 species